rnacentral:rRNA from 1 species
GAUGAACGCUGGCGGCGUGCCUAAUACAUGCAAGUCGAGCGAACAGACGAGUUUGUUGCUCCUCUGACGUUAACGGCGGAAGUGUGAGUAACAUAUGGUGCACUUACCUUUAGGACUGGGUUAACUUCGUGAAACCGGUACUAAUUCCGAAUAAUAUAUUGAACCGCAUGGUUCAAUAGUUUAAGCCGGUUUUGCUGUCCCUUAUAGAUGUCUCCGCGCUGCAUUAGUUGUUUGGUAAGGUAACGGCUUACCAAGGCGACGCUGCGUAGCCGACCUGUGAAGGUGAAGGCGCACUCAGGAACUGAGACGCGAUAUAGACACCGAGGGGAGGCAGAGGUAGGGAAUGUACGGAGAUGGGCGGAAGACUGAAGAAGCAACGCAGCGUGAGUGAUGAAGGGCUGCGGAUCGUAAAACUCUGUUAGUAGGGAAAAACGAAUGAGUAAGUAACGAUGCACGUCGUGACGGUACCUAAUCAGAAAGCAACGGCUAACUACGUG